ensembl:lncRNA
ACUAAAGACUCCACCAAAAAGCUAUUAGAAUAAAUGAAUUUAGUAUACUUGUAGUGUAAGAAAUCAACAUAUAAAAGUCUGUUGUGCUUCUACACAUUAAUAAAGAACUGUCAGAGAAAUUAAGGAAAUCCCAUUUAUAAUUGCACCAAGAGGAAUAAAAUACUUCAGGAUAAAUAUAACCAAGGAGGUGAAACACCUGUUAAAACUAAAAUACUGAUGAAAGAAAUUGAAGAAGAUACAAGUGAAAAAAUAUUUUGUGCACAUGAAUUGGAAGAAUUAUUGUUAAAAUAUUCACAUUACUCAAAGUAUCUACAGAUUCAACGCAAUCCCUAUCAAAAUUUCCAUGGCAUUUUUCACAAAAAUAGAACAAACCUAAAAUUUCAAUGGAACCACAAAGAACUCAAAUAGCUAAAGCCAUAUUGAGCUGGUGGCACCACACUUCUGAUUUUAAAGCUAUAGUCAUCAAAAGUAGAUACACAGGUCAACGGAACAGAAUAGAAACCUACACAUAUAUGGCAAUUAAUUUAUGACAAAGGAACCAAGAUCAUACAAUAAGACGUGUUGGGGAAACUGGACAGCAUAUGCAUGAGAAUGAAAUGACUACUGUCUUAUAUAAAAAAUGACAAUGGAUUAGAUUUAAAUGAAAUAUGUGAAACUAUAAAAUUGGAAGGGGGGAAGGUGGUAGGUAGUCUUAGAUUUGUCACCAGGAGCAAGGGUCGUGGAAGCAAAAACAAAGAAGUGGGACUACAUCAAACUAAAAAGCUUCUGCACAGAAAAAUAAACCAACAAAAUCAAAAGGCAACCUACUAAAUUAGAGAAGAUAUUUUCAACUUAUAUAUCUGAUAAGGGAAUAAUAGCCAAAACGUAUAAAGAACAAAUGUAUAAGAACAUACAACUCAGUAGCAACACAAAGACACAAACUGAUUAAAAAAUAGGCAGAGCACCUGAACAGACACUUUUUCAAAAAAUACUUAACAGAUGGCCAUGAACAGGUCUCAACACUAUUAAUCAUCAGUGAAAUGCAAAUCAAGAUCAUAAUGAGACAUCACCCUAUACCUGUUAGAAUGGCUAUUAUCAAAUAAACAUUUUGGCAAGAGUGUGGAGAUGGAGCCCUUGUGAGCUGUUGGCAUGAGUGAAACUGGUGCAGCCACUAUGCAAAAUAGGAUGGAAGUUCCUCAAAACACUUUAAAAGUUACCAUAUGAUCCAGUAAUUCUGCUUCUGGGUAUUUACCUGAAGAAAAUGAAAAUACGCAGCAUUAUUUCCAGUAGUGAAAGUAAGGAAAUAAACUAAGUGUCCACUGACGGAUAAAGAAACUGUGAUACACACACAUACACACACACACACACACACACACAGAGUGGACUAUUCAGUCAUAAAAAGAAGGAAAUUUGCCAUUUGCAACAAUAUGGAUAAACCAUGAGGGCAUUAUGUUAAGUGAAAUAAGUCAGAUGGGGAAGGCAUAUACUGUUAUAUGUAAUUUAGAAAAACCUAAAAAAAACCUGAGCUCAGAGAAC